rnacentral:rRNA from 1 species
UACGGAGGGUGCAAACGUUGCUCGGAAUCAUUGGGCGUAAAGCGCACGUAGGCGGCCCGCUAAGUCGGAUGUGAAAUCCCUCGGCUCAACCGAGGACGUGCAUUCGAUACUGGCAGGCUUGAAUAUGGAAGAGGGUCGCGGAAUUCCCGGUGUAGAGGUGAAAUUCGUAGAUAUCGGGAGGAACACCAGUGGCGAAGGCGGCGACCUGGGCCAAUAUUGACGCUGAGGUGGCGAAAGCGAUGGGGAGCAAA